CUGGCAGCUUCUUACUACUUCAUCCCUAAAGAAGUUUCUGCUAUACAUUCAAAAGAGUCUGUUUUAUUAAGUGCUGGUUACCAGUGAAUGCUGGAAUUCCUGAACAGCAUGCAUCUGAAGACUAAACCAAAAUAUCAGUAUCUUUGUAUACUUGCCACAAGAGAAGAGAAAUAUAAAUAGCAUUUCUUGAGGAUCUUCCAAUGCACCACUGUUGCUACUUUGUCAUGGGGUUGUUUGUAUCAGUCUGUGCAAUCUUCUUACAGCAGCUAAACCAGGAAGAAAAUAGUGUGCUGUUCCUCCCACUAUUUACUAGUGGCCUAAUGCCUAGCGCAAGACCCAGUUUGGUUAGUGGUUAAGGCAUCAGGCUAGAAACCAGGUACUGUGAGUUCUCAUCCUGCCUUAGGCAUGAAGAGAGUUGAGUAACCUUGGGCCAGUAAUUUUCUUUUAGUCUUAUGAAAAAGGCAAUGGCAAACCACUUCUGAAAAACCUUGUCAAGAAAACUGCAGGGAUUUGCUCAGGCAGUCUUUGAGACUCAGAUAUGAUUGAAUGAAAGGAAAAACAUGGCUGGCCUUUCAUACUCAAGGUAAUCAACUGUAACUUCAAUACUUAAAAAAAUUAAAGAAAUUGGUCUUCAGGGGUUCUGUGUUCACCAUUGUUUGUUACACUUGCUGUGUGAUUGAAUGUUUGUACUUGAACACUAUUUUGCUAACUAUUUUUGACUAUUUAUAGCUUCCAGCCAUCUUAGGUUUCAGUAAUCAAUAAAUAGGAUCAUCACACAUUAAUGUGAAAUCCAUAUCCAUGACAAAUUGCCUAUACAGGUAGUCCUUAUUUAAUAACCAUUUUAAUGACCAUUUGAAGUUACAGUAGUGAUGAAAAAUGAACUUUAUGACUAAUCAUUUAUGGCCUUUGCAGGCCUGUAAAGCAAAGGAAAACUGAAGUAAGACCAUAAGUACAGUCACGGUUUCUCUUAGUAACUGCUUCAAUUAAUCAAUUUGCUAGUCCCAAUUGUGGUUGUUAAAUGAGGACUAUCUAUAGUUUAGUUGCCUCUAUCUUACAUAUGUACUGGUCUCAUCUCACAAUCUUCUGACAGGCCAUAACAAAAAAUUAAAUCCUGCUACCUACACAAAAUAUUUAGAUAGUAUAAUUUUGACUAAUGGAGAAAACCAGUUUGGGGAAAAGUUAUUUGAAUAAAUCUUUGAAUAUUUUUGGUGGGGGGUUUACAUUGUGUCCAAAUUCUUUUCCAUUAAUGAAUUUGGAUAACAUCUUUUGUAAAUGAGAUUUCAAUUGCAUGUAUAUCAAUUAUUCACCAAUACUUGCCCAAUGGAACCUACAUGUUCUAAUAAUUUCAAAUUGGUUUAAUUUUUCCCUAGUAUGGUAAAUAAUUUUUUUCAACUCUUGUUGGAGACUUUUGUUUCUAACUUAUAAGAAAUUCUAUAAGAUUGAAGUGAGUCUUUUAUCUGCAGAUAUAAAAUAUAUGUUUUUACUGUAUACCAUUUAGACAAAAUAAAAGGACUUGAUUGUUUUAAGAUAAGUAUGUUUCCAACUUUGUAUUUAUUAGGUUUCUUGAAAAGUACAAAAAAAUACCAGAUGCCUCCUUAAACUGGAAUCUAAGUUUGCUGCAAGAUAGGCGGCAAAUAAAUUCAUUCAAUCAAUAAAAAUGUACAGAGCUUUUUUUCCUAACUCUUCCAAAGUAUGCUUGUGUUAAGAUUUUACUUUGAAUUGUGAUUGUUUGAAUUCAUUUAUUGUUCAAAUGUAUAUGAAUGCCCACCUCAAAUUCAUGAAUCUGGGCAACUAACAGUUUAAAACAUUAUAAAAAGAUAGCAAUACAAACAUAUCAAAGUAAAUUCCAUAGUGUUCUAAAUAUAGAAUCAUAGAAAUAUUUAGGCCAUUUACCCAUUUCUCUUCUCAAUCUAAAUUAAAGCAUUCCCAGCAGACUGACCAUUAGCUUCUCUACUUUUGCUCAUUCAGUGAAGAAGAGCUUACCAUCUCCCUAGUCAAAUUGUUCAUUUCCCCUAAACUUCAUAUGAAAUUUGCCUUUCUGUUAUUCUAUGACAAAUUCUGAAAUUAUUGAGAACAUGGUUUUUCUUCAUAUAUUUGAAGAAUAUUAUCACACCUCUCUUCAGUUCUCCUUUCUCAAAGCUAAACAUCCAGCUUCUUCAACUUCUCUUUAUAGGUUUUAGUUUCUAGUCGCUGAUCAUUUUUGUUGCACUUCUCUGAUUAUAUCCUAGUUUGUCUAAAUGUUUCUUGUGCAAUACUCAGAAAUUGACUUAGUAGUCAUAGGAUCUGAUUAGUGCAGAAUAAAGUGGAUCUGUGUAAUAGAUUUGUUUCUUAUGAAGGUUAUUUCUGUCUUCUAGAGUAUUAGCUGUACCAAUAAAGGACAAUAUUUGUAAUUUAGGAUUGAAAUGAAGGGUCUUUGAUACUCUCUGAGCUUGGUUAUUUUCUUACAGACAUUUCAUUACCCAAAUUACAUUACAUCAUUAUUGCUCUGCAAGAAAACAACCAAGCUCAAGAAAGCCCCAAGGACCCCUCAGUAUUAGUUGCUCCAUCCAAUUUUGUGUUAUCUAAAAUGUGAUAAGGAUUCCCCCAUUUCUUAGUCCAAAUCAUAAUAAAAAUAUUUAAAUAAGUUAUUUGAACUUUAUUGUACCUCUCUAAUUUGAUGAACAACCAUUGAUGAACAUUCUUUGAAUAUUAUUAAGUUAUGUUUUUCCUUUCAUCAUGCACCUUGUCUACACUUAACUAACUUGUUGCUCAGAAUUCAUUGGAUACUUUUUAAA